rnacentral:lncRNA from 1 species
GGGUUUCAGAGCCGGGCAGGUUUAAGGUCGAAUGCCCCAGCUUGCCCUCCAUCUGGAGGAGCCGCGGCUCUCUCCAGCUCUCUGUGAGGACUGCAGCCUCAAAGAAGUUACCAGGUUCCUGAGCCUCUGUCACCUGGGCCAGACUGCUGUGAGCAGAGGGGGUGGGGACACAAGCAUCAUGGCUGCCUGGUAUCAACCAACCUCCUUCUCAGCCCCACUCCAUCACGGCCACUGUGGGUGAACCGCUAGCUCCCGUGUUUGUGUGCUUGCUCUCUUAGGCACAGGUGAUGAGCUGGGAGGCGGUUACUGUUUGCCACCUGCUGUGAUGGAUGCUGGAAUCAACGGUAGUGUUCCUAAAACCACACUUGGAUGCUUACACUUGUACCAUUCUGCAGUUCUUUGCCAAGCCCCUUCACUAGUUCUCUUUUUACCAGGACAUGAAGGCUGGACUCCCAGCUAAUGCUCCACCCACUGCAGAUGGGCUGGUCCCAUUGCUGCUCCGAACCCCCUCUGCAUGUUUGCUAGGUUCUGUGUUUUUCCCUCCUGGGUGUCUGACAGGAGCCUUGUGAGUAGCUUCCAUGGUGGCUGGGUGAAAUCUCCCAGGGGCCCUGCCUGCCUCAUCAGAACCAACUGUGUGACUCCUCUGGGGCUGCAGCUGGAGUGCUGGGGCGCAUGUGCAGUCAUUGUGGGCAAGCGCAGUCUUGGAUGGCAAGGGCUGAGCCAGGACAGGGGCAAGGGCUCUUGCUGAGGGCCUGGUUCCUGCUCCUCUCCUGCUGUCUGUUACUGAUCUGUGCCCUGGUACACCCUUCCACCUGCAAGCAAUUCCACUGCCCUGGGCAGCUGAGUACAUACCCUGGGAGAUGUCAACCCCUGGGCCCAUCUUAACUCUGUCUAUGCCCUAAGUGUCAUGUGGGGUUUAUUCUACUUUCUGAAAACUGUGGGCUUUCACCACCCCAGCCUGCUUCUGUCCAGCUGGGGGCCCAUGAGUAAGAAUGUGUGGGAUUUUCUUGACUCCUCUCCUGUCUCAGCAUUGCCUCUGAGGAGUGGGGGUGGAGUCAGGGACUCUGCCACACUGCCCAUCCCACCCAAGUUCUCUUUCUGUUGUUGUCACAAGCAGUGUAAGGUUGAUUUCCUUUUUUUCUGUGAUCACACCUGGUAUUUUUUUUUUUAACCUUUCUUCUUAACUCUAUUCAUUUUGCUUGACUUUGAGUGGAAAGAUAACAUGUUCCCACUUUACCUUCUUCUGAACUUGGAAUAGCCAUGAUUCCAUAUUUUUAUCCAUUAUGAAAUGAUCAUGAUAAUUCUAGUUACCAUCCAUCACCAUAGAGCUAUUACAAUAUUAUUGACUAUUUUCCCUAUGCUAUACAUUAUAUCCCUGUGAGUUAUUUAUUUUAUAACUGUAAGUUUGUACUUCUUUCCACCUAUUUCACUCAUUCCCCCAACACCGACCCCUCUGGUCACCACCAGUUUGUUCUCUGAAUCUCUCUUUAAUUUUUUAGAUUUACAAAUCAGUGAAAUAAUACCAUUUUUGUUUUUCUCUGGCUCAUUUUAUGUAGCACAAUACCCUCUGAGUCCAACUAUGUUGUCACAGAUGGCAAGAUUUCAUUCUUUUUUAUGGUUGAGUGACAGUCCAUUCUAUUAUACAUAUACCACAUCUUUUUCUCAUUGAUCUAUCAGUGGACACUUAGGUUGCUUCCAUGUCACGGCUUUUGCAAAUAUGCUGCAGUGAAUGUGGUGGUGUGUAUGUCUUUUUGAAUUAGUGUUUUCAUUUUUUGGGGAUCAAUAUGUAGAAAAGUGGAAUUGUUGGAUCGUACGGUACUUAUAUUCUUAAUUUUUUGAAGAAACUUCGUACUGUUUUCUAUAGUGGCUGCACUAAUUUACAUUCCUAUCAACAGUAUAGGAAGGUUUCCUCUCCUCAACAUCCUUGCUAACACUUUUUUUUUUUUUUGAGGUGGAGUUGAUUUAUAUUGUUACUAGUUUCAGGUAUACAACAGUGAUUCACAAUUUUUGUAGAUUCUACUCCAUUUAAAGGUAGAAAAUAUUGGCUAUAUUCCCUCUGCUGUACAAUAUAUCCUUGUAGAUUAUUUAUUUCCUACAUAGUUAAUUGUACUUCUUAAUCUCCUGUCUCUAUUUUGUCCUUCCACCCUCCUCUCUCCCCACUGGUCCUCUAAUUUGUUUUCUGUAUCUGUGAGUUUCUGUUUUGUUGUAUUCAUUUGUUUGUUUUAUUUUUUAGAUGCCACAUAUAGUCAAAACAUGCAGUAUUUGUCUUUUUCUGUCUAACUUACUUCACCAAGGUUAAUAUCCAGAUCCAUUCAUGUUGUUGCAAAUGGCAAAAUUUCAUUUUUUAUGGCUGAGUAGUAUUCCAUUGUAUGUAUAUGUGUGUGUAUAUAAUGUAUGUAUGUUCUUCCUCUGUUCAUCUGGACACUUAGGUUGCUUUCAUAACUUGGCUAUUGUAAAUAGUUCUGCUAUGAACAGUGGGAUGCUUACAUCUUUUGGACUUAGUAUUUUCAUUUUCUGUGGAUAUGUACCCAGGAGUAGAAUGCUGGAUCAUAUAGUAGUUCUAUUUUCAGUUUUGUUGAGGAACCUCUAUCUUGUUUUCAGUAGUGGCUGUACCAGUUUACAUUCCCACCAAUAGUAUGUGAGGGUUCCUUUUUCUUUUUUUAUUUUUGUUUUGGCUUUGCCUUUGGCUUGCAGAAGUUCCUGGGCCAGGGAUCAAACCCAUACUACAGCGGUGAUCUGAGUCACAGCGGUGACAAUGCUGGAUCCUUAACCUGCUGUGCUACCAGGAAACUCUGUGGGUUUGCUUUUCUCCACAUCCUCAGCAACUUUCUGAUAGGCGUGAAGUGAUACCUCACUGUGGUUUUGAUUUUCAGCUCUCUGAUGAUUCGUGAUGUUGAGUAUCUUUUCCUGUGCCUUUUGGCCAAGAAAAAUGGCUAUUCAGGUCUUACUGCCCUAUUUUUUUUAAACUUUUUUUUGGCCAAACCCAUGGCAUAUGGAAGUCCUUGGGCCAUGGAUUGAAUCUGAGCUGCAGCUGUGACCUGUGCCUCAGCUGCAGCAAUGCCAGAUCCUUAACCCACUGUACCAGGCCAAGGAUUGAACCCACACCUCUGCAGCAACCCAAGAUGCUACAGUUGGAUCCUUAACCUACUGUGCCACAGUGGAAACUCUUUAUUGACCUUUUUUUUGUGUGUGUGUGUUUUUGCCAUUUCUUGGGCUGCUCCCAUGGCAUGUGGUGUUUCCCAGGCUGGGAGUUGAACCGGACCUAUAGCCACCGGCCUACACCAGAGCCACAGCAACGCAGGAUCCAAGCUGCGUCUGCAACCUACACCACAGCUCAUGGCAACGCCAGAUCCUUAACCCACUGAGCAAGGCCAGGGAUCGAACCUGCAAUCUCAUGGUUCCUAGUCGGAUUCGUUAACCACUGAGCCACGACGGGAACUCCUUUAUGGCCCACUUUUAAUCAGGUUUUUUUUUUUUUUUAUAGAGUUGUAUGGACUAUUUAUAUAUAUUUUGGGUGUUAAUCCCCUUAAUCAGUCAUUAUCAUUUCCAAAUACGUUCUCCCAUUCAGUAGGUUGUCUUUUUAAUUUGUCAGUGGUUUUCUUUGCUAUGCAAAAGAUUUUAAGUUUAGUUAGGUUCCAUUUAUUUAUUUUUUACUUUUGUUUUCUUUGUCUUAGGAGAUAGAUCCCCCCCAAAAAUACAAUGAUUUAUGUCAAGGAGUGUUCUGCCUAAGUUUUCUUCUAGGAGGUUUCUGGUUUUACAUGUAGGUCUGUAAUCAAUUUUGAGUUUAUAUUUGUUAUGUCAUGUGAGAAAACGUUCUAAUUUUAUUCUUUUACAUGUAGUUGUCCAGUUUUUUCUGCACCACCUGUAGAAAAGACUGCCUUUCUUUGUUGUGUAUUUUUGCCUCUUUUGUCAUAGAUUAAUUGACUCUAAGUGUAUGGGUUUAUUUCUGGGCUCUCUGUUCUGUACCACUGAUUUAUAUGUCUAUUUUAGUGCCAGUUGCAUACUCUUUGGAUUACCAUAGCUGUGUAGUAUAGUCUGAAGUCAGGGAGUGUGAUAGCUCCAGUUCUUAAGAUUUUUUUUGGCUAUUCAAGGUCUUUUGUGUUUCCAUGCAAAAGUUAAAAUUAUUUUUUCUAGUUCUAUAAAAAAUGCCAUUGGUAUUUUGGUAUUGAUUGUAUGGACCCUGUGGAUUGCCUUGGGCUGUAUGGUCAUUUUAACAAUAUUAAUUAUUUUUUUGGAGGGGGGGCUGCACUCGUGGCAUAUGGAAGUUCCCAGUCUAGGGUUUGAAUCAGAGCUGCAGCUGCUGGCCUAUGUCAUAGCCACAGCAACAUGGGAUCCAUGCUGCAUCUGUGACCUACACUGCAGCUCAUGGCAACACUAGUUCCUUGACACACUGAGCGAGUCCAGGGAUCGAACCCACAGCCUCAUGGAUAUAGUCAGAAUCCUUUCUGCCGAGCCACAAAAAGAACUCCCAACAAUAUUAAUUCUUUUAAUCUGUGAACAUGGUCUGUAUUUCCAUCUCUUUGUGUCAUCUUCAGUUUCUUUCAUCAGUGUCUUAGAGUUUUCUGAGUAUCAAUCUUUUACCUCCUUAUUUUUAUUUCUAGAUAUUUUAUUCUUUUUGAUGUAAUUAUAAAUGGAAUUAUGUACUUAAUUUCUCUUUCUAAUUGUCUGUUGUUAGUGUAUAGAAGUGCAAUGAAUUUCUGUGUAUUAAUUUUGUAUCCUGGAACUUUACCAAAUUCAUUGAGCUUUAGUAAUUUUUAGUAGCAUCUAUAGGAUUUUUUGUGUAUAGUAUUAUGCCAUCUGCAAACAGUGACAGUUUUACUUCUUCCUUUCCAAUUUGGACUCCUUUUAUUUAUUUUUUUCCUAUCCGAUUGCUGUGACUAGGACUUCUAAUACUGUGUUAAAUAAAAGUGGUGACAGUGGGCAUACUUGUCCUAUUCCUGGUCUUAGAGGAAAUGCUUUCAACUUUCCACCUUUUUGAGGAUUAUGUUAACUAUGGGCUUAUCCUUUAUGUUGUUGAAGCUUUUAUUAUGUUGAGGUAUGAUCCCUCUAUACCAACUUUGUGGAGAGUUUUUAUCAUAGAUGAAUGUUGAAUUUUGUCAAAAGCUUUUUCUGCAUCUCUUUAGAUGAUCAUGACAUUUAUUCUUCAAUUUGUUAAUGUGGUAUAUUGAGUUAAUACCACAUUAAUUUUGUGGUUAUUGAAUCAUCCUUUCAUCUCUGGGAUAAAUCACACUUGAUCAUGGUAUAUGAUCCUUUUAAUGUAUUGUUGGAUUUGGUUUGCUGAUAUUUGAAGAUUUUUGUGUCUGUGUUCAUCAGUGAUAUUGGCCUAUAAGUAAUUUUCUUUUUUUUUUUUUUUGGUGAUAUCUUUGUCUGGUUUUGAUAUCAGGGUGAUGCUGGUCUCAUAGGAUGAGUUUGGGAGUAUUUCUCUUCUGCUGCAAUUUUUUGGAAUAUUUUGAGAAAGAUAGGUGUUAACUCUUCUCUAAAUGUUUGGUAGAAUUCAACUGUGAUGCCAUCUGGUUCUGGACUCUUGUUUGUUGAGAAUUUUCUAAAUUAGUGAUUCAAUUUCAUUACUGGUAAUUGGUCUGUUCUUUAUUCCUGGUUCAGUCUUGGGACAUGAUACAUUUCUAGGAAUUUGUCCAUUUUGUUUUGUCAAUUUUAUUGGCAUAUAGUUGUUCAUAUUAGUCUCUUGUGAUGCUUUGUAUUUUUGUGCUUUGGGUUGUAACCUGUCCUUUUUCAUUUAUGAUUUUAUUGGUUUGGGCUUGCUCUUUUUUAUUUUUUUGAUGAACUGGAUAGAGGUUUAUCAAUUUUUCUUAUUUUUUCAAAGAACCACCUUUUAGUUUCAUUGAUCUUUUCUAUUGCAUUUUUACUCAGUUUCUUUUACUUCUGCUCUGAUCUUUAUGAUUUUUUUCACUAACUUUGAAUUUCAUUUAAUCUUUUUCUAGUUCCUGUAGGUAUAAGGUUAGAUUGUUUGAAAAUUUUCUUGUUUCCUGAGGUAGGCUUGAAUCACUAUGAACUUUCCGCUUAGAACUGCUUUUGCUAUAAUUUGGGAAUCACUUUGUUUUUGUUUUCAUUUGUCUCCAGGUAUUUUUUAUUUCUUCCUUGAUCCAUUGUUUAGUAGCGUAUUGUUCAGCCUCUAUGCGCUUGUGUUUUGCAGUUUUUUUUUAAUAGUUGAUUUCUAAUCUCGUAGUGUUGUGGUGGGAAAAGAUGCUUGAUAUAACUUCACUUUUCUUAAAUUUACCAAAGCUUGUUUUUUGGCCCAGCGUGUGGUCUAUCCUGGAGAAUGUUCCAUGUGCACUUGAAAAGAAUGUGUAUUCUGCUGCUUUUGGAUUGAGUAUUUUCUAUAUAUGUUAGGUCAGUCUGGUUUAAUGUGUUACUUGAGGUCACUGUUUCCUUUUAUUUUUUAAUUUUUUGGUUUUGUCGAUUUGUCCAUUAAUGUAAGUGGGGUGUUAAAGUCUCUUAGCAUUACUGUGUUACUGUCAAUUUCUUCCUUGAUGUUUGUUAAUAUUUCCCUUAUGUAUUUAGGUAAUACUCUGUUGGGUGCAUAUAUAUUUAUAGCUCUUCUUGGAUUGAUCCUUUGAUCAUUAUGUAAUGCCUUUAUCUCUCUUAAUAGUCAUUGUUUUAAAAUCUAUUUUAUCUGAUAGCAGUAUUGCUACCCCAGCUUUAUUUUGAUUUCCAUUUGCAUGGAAUAUUUUUUCCAGCCCCUCACUUUCAGUCUGUGUGUGUUUUGAGAUCUGAAGUGAGUCUCUUAUGGGCAACAUAUUAAUAUGGAUCUUGGUUUUAUAUUGCUACUAUGUCUUUUGAUUUUAGCAUUGAGUCCAUUUACAUUUAUUUAUUUAUUUAAAAAACUUUUUUUUGUUAUAGUUGAUUUACAGUGCUCUGUCAAUUUCUGCUGUACAACAAAGUAACCCAGUCAUACAUACAUGUAUUCUUUUUCUCAAAUUACCCUGCAUCAUGUUUUAUCAUAAGUGGCUAGAUAUAGUUCCCUGUGCUCUACAGCAGGAUCUCAUUGCUUAUCCACUCCAAAUGCAAUAGUUUGCAUCUACUGGGAGUUUAGGGUUAGUAAUCCAUUUACAUUUAAAGUAAUUAUUGAUAGGUAUGUGCUUAUUACCAUUUUGCUAAUUGUUUUGGACUUGUUUUUAUAGUUUUUUUUGUUCUUUUUUCUCUUCCCUUGUAAUUUGAUGACUAUCUUCAGUGUUAUAUUUGGAUUCCUUUUUCUUUUUUUGUGUGUGUAUCUAUUAAAGAUGUUCAGUUUGUGGCUACCAUUUUUGUUUUGUGGCUACCAUAUAUAUACACACAUGCAUAUAUAUAGUAGCCUAUAUAAAUAUGUGAUUAUUUUAAGUUGCUGAUUGCCUAAUUUUAAACACAUAUUUCAACAACACUAUUUUUUUACUCCCCUUCCCUCAUGAUUGCUCUUUUCAACAUCAUAUUUUACAUGUUUGUUUUGUGUGUCCCUUAAUUGCUUAUUGUGGACAUAGAUGUUUUUACUACUUUUGUUUUUUAACCUUCCUACUAGCUUUGUCAGUAGUUGUUUAUUAUCUUUAAUGUAUAUUUGCCUUUACUGAUGAGCUUUUGCCUUUUGUAAUUUUCCUGUUUCUAGUUGUGGCUUUUUUUGCUUAGAGAAGUCCUUUAACAUUUCCUGUAGAAUUGGUUUGGUGGUGCUGAACUCUUAGUUUUUGCUUACCUGUAAGACUUUUGACCUCUGAACAAAUCUGAAUAAAAGCCUUGCUGGAUAGAGUGUAGUUGGUUGUAGGUUUUCCUCUUUCACCACUCUAAUUAUAUCAUUUUACCCUCCUCUGGCCUGUAGAGUUUCUGCUGAAAGUCAACUGAUGGCCUUAUAGCAGUCCCCUAGUAUGCUACUUGUUGAUUUUCCCUUGCUGCUUUUGCUAUUCUCUCAUUAUCUUUAGUUUUUUCCAUUUUAAUUACAAUGUGUCUUGGUGUGGGCCUCUGUGGGCUGAUCCUGUUUUGGACUCUAUGUGCUUCCUGGACUUGGAUGUCUGUUUCCUUUUCCAGAUUAGGGAAAUUUUCAGCUAUUACGUCUUCAGGUAUGUCCUCUGCCCCUUUCGCUCUCUCUUCUGUUGGGAUCCCUAUCAUGUGAGUAUUAGUAUGCUGAUGUUAUAUCAGAGAUCUCAUAAACUUCCUCAUUUUUUUUUUUUCUUUAUUGGCUGCCCCUGGGGCAUAUGCAGCUUCAGAAAUGCCAGAUCCUUAACCCAGUGCUCUGGACUGGGGAUCGAACUGGCACCUCCACAGAGACAAGCUGGAUCAUUAACCCACUGCACCACAGUGGGGACUCCCUCAUUUCUUUUUAUUUUUCCUUUUAUGAAAUUCUUAUAUAGGAGUUCCCGUCAUGGCUCAGUGGUUAACAAUCCAACUAGGAACGAUGAGGUUGUGGGUUUGGUCCCUGACCUUGCUCAGUGGGUUAAGGAUCUGGCAUUGCCGUGAGCUCUGGUGUAGGUCACAGACGCAGCUCAGAUCUGGAAUUGCUAUGGCUGUUGUGUGGGCCAGCGGCUACAGCUCCGAUUUGACCCCUAGCCUGGGAAUCUCCAUAUGCUGCAGGAGUGGCCUUAGAAAAGGCAAAAAGACAAAAAAAAAAAAAAAAAAAAA